rnacentral:rRNA from 1 species
UACGUAGGUGGCAAGCGUUGUCCGGAUUUAUUGGGUUUAAAGGGUGCGUAGGCGGUCUAUUAAGUCAGUGCUGAAAUAUCCCGGCUUAACCGGGAGGGUGGCAUUGAUACUGAUGGACUUGAGUAAAGUUGAGGUUGGCGGAAUUGACGGUGUAGCGGUGAAAUGCGUAGAUAUCGUCUGGAACGCCAAUGGUGAAAACAGCUCGCUGGGGGUUUGCUGACGCUGAGACACGAAAGCCAGGGGAGCAAACGGG